GAUGAAGAACGUAGCGAAAUGCGAUAAGUAAUGUGAAUUGCAGAAUUCAGUGAAUCAUCGAAUCUUUGAACGCACAUUGCGCCCGCCAGUAUUCUGGCGGGCAUGCCUGUUCGAGCGUCAUUUCAACCAUCAAGCCCCCGGCUUGUGUUGGGGACCUGCGGCUGCCGCAGGCCCUGAAAAGCAGUGGCGGGCUCGCUGUCACUCCGAGCGUAGUAGCAUACAUCUCGCUCUGGGCGUGCUGCGGGUUCCGGCCGUUAAACCACCUUCAUAACCCAAGGUUGACCUCGGAUCAGGUAGGAAGACCCGCUGAACUUAAGCAUAUCAAUAAGCGGAGGA
rnacentral:misc_RNA from 1 species